AGUGAACGCUGGCGGUAGGCCUAACACAUGCAAGUCGAACGGCAGCACAGUAAGAGCUUGCUCUUACGGGUGGCGAGUGGCGGACGGGUGAGGAAUACAUCGGAAUCUACUUUUUCGUGGGGGAUAACGUAGGGAAACUUACGCUAAUACCGCAUACGACCUACGGGUGAAAGCAGGGGAUCUUCAGACCUUGCGCGAUUGAAUGAGCCGAUGUCGGAUUAGCUAGUUGGCGGGGUAAAGGCCCACCAAGGCGACGAUCCGUAGCUGGUCUGAGAGGAUGAUCAGCCACACUGGAACUGAGACACGGUCCAGACUCCUACGGGAAGCCGCAGUGGGGAAUAUUGGACAAUGGGCGCAAGCCUGAUCCAGCCAUACCGCGUGGGUGAAGAAGGCCUUCGGGUUGUAAAGCCCUUUUGUUGGGAAAGAAAAGCAGCAGGUUAAUACCCCGCUGUUCUGACGGUACCCAAAGAAUAAGCACCGGCUAACUUCGUG
rnacentral:rRNA from 1 species